rnacentral:rRNA from 1 species
GAUGAACGCUGGCGGCGUGCUUAACACAUGCAAGUCGAACGGAGUUUACUUAACAGGUUUCUUCGGAAUGAUGUUUUUUAAACUUAGUGGCGGACGGGUGAGUAACGCGUGGGUAACCUGCCUUACACAGGGGGAUAGCAGUUGGAAACGACUGGUAAUACCGCAUACCUUACAUUAUUCGCAUGUUUGAUGUAAGAAAGAUUUUAUCGGUGUAAGAUGGACCCGCGUCUGAUUAGCUAGUUGGUGUGGUAACGGCAUACCAAGGCGACGAUCAGUAGCCGGCCUGAGAGGGUGAACGGCCACAUUGGGACGGAGAUACGGCCCAGACUCCUACGGGAGGCAGCAGUGGGUAAUAUUGCACAAUGGAGGCAACUCUGAUGCAGCGACGCCGCGUGAGUGAAGAAGUAUUUCGGUAUGUAAAGCUCUAUCAGUAGGGAAGAUAAUGACGGUACCUACAGAAGAAGCCCCGGCUAAAUACGUGCCAGCCGCCGCAGUAA